CUGGCCCAAGGGCCGUGCCGGAAGUCCCGCCUCUCCGCACAUGUCUCCGCCCCAUCCGUCCAGGGCUACUUUCCGGUUUCGAAGACCAACUACGGGGUCUAGUACUGCUGCUUCCUCACCGUGUUAACAGAACGGAAUGAAAAGUAUGACACCUUUAAAGCAGCGGUCUCCAACCUUUUUGGCACCAGGGACCCAGUUUCGUGGAAGACAGUUUUUCCACCGACAGGGUGGCGGGGGACUGGUUCAGGCGGUAGUGCACGCGAUGGGGAGAGGCACAUGAAGCUUCGCUCGUUCGCCCACCGCUCACCUCCUGCUGUGCAGCCCGCUCCCUGACAGGCCAAGGACCAGGACCCCUGCUUUAAAGGAUGAGCCUGGGAGGCAGAGCCUUGAGAAUGGGCUGUAUUUCAGGCUGUGGGCAACAUUCCUUUACAAAGGUGCAGAGUCACCAUAACUAAGAACAGACAACAGAGCACACAGAUUAAAGAUUAAAGGAACAGAUCCAA